GUAGCUGCCACCCAGCAGACCAGCAGGGACCUCCAUGGCCAUGCUCCCGGGCCCAGGAUGGCAAAGGGUGGCGGGCUGUCAGCAGGCUGCUGAGAUCGAGUGCACAGGGCUCUGACCUAUGAAUUGACAGCCAGUGCUCUCAUCUCUCCUCUGGCUGCCAAUUCCAUAGGUCACAGGUAUGUUCGCCUCAAUGCCAGCCACCAGGAUCUGUGGGGGAAGGGACGGGGCUGGGGUGUCCAGAGGGCAGUGAAGACUUGCUACCCCAGUGCAGCACUCAGGCCCAGCUCCCUCCUGUUUCAUUCCUACCUUUCCUCCUGUGAGCCUGCACUGCUUUAGGUCCCCACCUAGACGGACUGUGUGUGACAUGCCUCUGUGCUUUACCCAUCCUGUUCCCUCUGCUUGGAACACCCUUCUAGCUUUUUUUUGCCAGGUUCACCCUUACUAACUGUUCCAAGAUCUGCCCAAGCAUUUGCUGCCUCCAGGAAGCCUUCCUGAAGCCCACCCACUUGAUCCCUACUGCCCACCUGGGCACCCCCAGCACCCUGGGCUUCCCCAGAAGACUGAACUCCCCCGGUGUUUCCACCCUCCCCACCACCUGUGAGGUCAGCUUCCAGCCCACGCCGAGCCCAGUCCCCAACCCUGCAGGCUCCCCCAGCCCAGCUAGCAGUUGUGGUGGUAGCAGAGAAGGCACCUUAGGGGGCAGGACUCCGACCUAGCCCCCGCUCCAGCUUCCCACACAGCUUCACCCCUGCCUGGCUUUAAUAUGAUGCAGUUCUGGAGACAUCCUCAUUGGAAUAAGAAGGCUUCUGCUGCUAAAAGAUAAACUUUUCAAACCUGGAAACACAGACCUAAGAAUAAAGUUCGAAUUGCUUAAUAACAA